rnacentral:rRNA from 1 species
GUCUAUGGCCAUGCCACCCUGAACGUACCCGAUCUCAUCUGAUUUCGGAAGCUAAGCAGGGUCGGGCGUUGUUAGUACUUGGAUGGGAGACCACCUGGGAAUACCAGGUGCUGUAGGCG